rnacentral:lncRNA from 10 species
CACACGUGUGCUGGCUCUGCUGUGGGCUUCCUUCCCUUCCUGUGCAGGUGGUGGUGCCCUCUGCGCCUUCACUGGGGCCCAGCCAAGUAACUGAAUCCAGCCAGGAGCAAGGGCAGACGCUGGCACAGGUCCUGCCACUGUCCCCAACCUGGGUUUCAACACAGCUGAGGCCUGGCAUAGUCUUUCUGGGCGCCUCUGGCUGGCUCGGUCUGAAAGGCGCGGCCAGGUCACAGUCGGCACCAGAAGUUUGGCAGAUCUCAGUGAGGCGUUAGUUUGCAUUUCCUUGUGACGGGUUUUGACUGGAAUGCCAGGCUUAACGUUGCUCAGAAGUUGCUUCUAUGAGGACGUCUCCCAGCAGCUGUCAGUGUUUCCAAUGAGUCAUCGCCAGCCCCUGCAAUGAGCCUCUCAGGCUGGUAAGUUUUGUUUCAGAACCGCUUCCUCAAGCUUCUUUUGCCUUUAAAAGCUUCCUCUUGCCCCAGCCUCCCAGGGAAUGCCUGUGGUCUGUCAUGGCUCACACAUCCUGGUUGAUAAUCCACUGCUGUUCUCCACGGAAUGCCUUCAUUUUGAGAGCUGCUCGCUGCCUGUUGUGGUUUCAGUUGACGGCCCACCGCUGUGUGCAGAGUUCACCAGCCGCUGUGGUGUGCAGUGCAGCAGCUGACCUGCCUGCCUUGUGGUUUUCUAAUCCCAUUGAGGGGACGUCUUAGGUGUUCUCACCAAGAAUGCACAGCAACAGUGCUGGGUGGGCCACAUCCUCCCUCACGUUUGGUGCCACCAGUUUUAUAGAUUUUGGCUACUGUGGGUGUGUGUGGUGGUUUUUGUUGGUGUUUACGACGCAUCUUCCUGGUGCUCGAGUCUGUCGAGCACUUUUUCUUGUGUUUAUUUGCCAUCAUUUGGCGAAGUGUUCAAAUCCUUUGACCGUUGUUUCACCAAGUUGUUUUAUUAUGAAAUUUUAGGGGUUACUUAUUCUGGAUCUCAGCACUUGGAUAAAUAUUUGAGAAUAUUUUUUGCAGUAAGUGACAUCGUUUUAUGUGGAUGAACAGAAGAUUUUAAUUUUGAUAAAGUCUAAUGGAUAUAUGUGAUGUUAGUGUAAUUUGAAUGCAUACAUAUGUAUAUUUAAUGCAUUCUUUUAUGAUGAUUGUGCACUUCAUAUGAAAUGCGGCAACCUUGCCUUGCCAUCCCGGAGGCCUCUGCUUCUCUGAUCUGUGGGUGUCACAGGCACUUCACUUACUCACACCUUAUGGCACGGUUUCUUUUGCUCUAAGCCUGCACGUGUGUUUUAAAGGUAAUUUCUUCCGUUAGAGAAGUCGCGUAGGCUCACCCUGCUAUUUGCCAUUUCUGGAGCUCUUUAUCUCCUUCUUCAUAUCUGCAUUUCCCUCUGGAAUCAUUUCCAUUCAGCCUGAAGAACUCUUCUGCCUGGGACUCCACCUUCUUUUCUAGCAGCUGGGCUCAUUGGGAGCUCUGUCCUCUGGUGGCUCUGGCCAGGGGACGCUGGGUUUUCUCUUAGGGUUUCAGUUGGCCCGUGUGGUGCCAAUGUCAACGUGUCUGUAGGCCAGAGCCAGCAAUGAGCACCCCCUCGGUCUGGCCCUGAGCUCCAAGGCCCCACUCCCACGGGAUCUUGCUGCCAGGACCCCACUCUCUGCAUCUUGUCCAGAGUGUCGAGGAGGGCAGGGUCCAGCGGGAUCUCUCGGCCCUCCCAGGGCUGAGUCUGUGCUCUGACCUUUCCUGGGAGGCACUCAGGGCCAACAGAGCAACAAGGGGCCUUUCCCUGUGGCUCCCUCCCCUCUGGAGAAAAUGGGUCAGACCUGGGUUUCUCCAUAGUCACUGUCCCUAAAAUGAAGCCGGGCUGCCAGAGGCGGUUGCAUCUCCCGGCACCAAGACCCCAGAGUCCCUGUGAGAAAGAGGACCAACGACGAUGGAAGCCUUUCUCUAAUGUGCGCACAGCCAGGCCGCUCCUCUGAAGGCGCUGAGCCGCCUCUAAUCACAGCGCCACACUGGCCAC